AAAUUGUUACUCAGAAUAUUCAGUUUGUGAUGGAGCUUUUGGAGUGAACGAUCGGCUUGAGGACAUUAAGUUGUUGUGAGAGAAUUUUAAUAAAUUUUUAGAUUAACUUUUAAUUACAUCGAUUGGAAUUGCAUCAACGAAUUCAAAAUCAACUUCCUCAAUAAAUGGGACGACGGAAAAACAAGCCAAGAUUAAUACCUGAACAGGACAAACGAAUAUGUGGUUCAAUUUGUCUAUGCCAACUUACCAUUGUUUUGUCCUGUGUUUCUAUCGUCUACCUCAGUGUCGCCAUCUAUCUUCCGUCGUAUAAGGCAUUUCAGUCUGGCUUCGAAGAUACCCCAGUUAUGUGUCAAACUGUUAAUACAACAAUCGCCAACAAUUGUCCGUGGGCUUCUUGUGGUGAAUGGUGUUUAACGAAAACAGGAGGUUUUUGUACUCAAAUCCAUGCAACUGUGCGACGUAAUGGAACGGAUAUUCAAUUGGAAAAUUGUACUCGCAUAGCAACGACAGGAUGUCCUCAGGUAAAACCAGAAGCAAUAAAAAAAUUCAAUUGUAACAAUGGAACCGAAUGUGCCGUUUUGAGUGGAGUGUUCAAUUGUUCUUUAGGACAUUGCAAAAAUAUGUCCGAAUUAUAUCUUUGUCAUCACAAGGCCGAUGGUGGUGUCGUUAUAGACGCUGAAAAGGACAAUCUGAAAUUGAAUGGAUUUUUCGAAUGCGUAAAUUCGAAAUGCACCAAAAUCCGAAAAGCCUUUUCUUGCGAUCGAUACUGUCCAAAGAUCACAACCGCAGUGAACGUUCUCAUCAUGCAAGACGAUAAUUUAGUUACAGCAGAAUGUGAUAUCGGGUAUGGUUACAAUGAAGCGAGAGGAAAGGAUUCUGGGGUGCGGCUUAGUACACCGAAAAAAAUUUGGGAUGAAAAUAUGGGAGUUUUGCUGACGAGUUGUCACGACGUUAUUAGGGACGGCGACAAACUAAGAGCCACUGACUGCUUAAAUGGGACUUUAUUGAAACAAUCAGAAUUACCUCAUCCUUACAUGAAUUUUACUCAAUUUUGGAAAAUAUACGAAAACAGUAACGAAGUAUUGGAUCCCAACGAAAUAUUUUUACCGAAACAGUCAAGUGUGACGAUAUACAACACCAGUAAAUUGUUCAUCAAUCUCGAAGGAUGCGUUAACACAUUACGGGGUGAAUGCAAUGAAUUCGUUGCCAUGUAUGGCCGAGAUGGCGAUAAUAAUACAGCCCAAUCGAGAUUUCGGUGUUUCUACAAUAAACACAAUCCAGCAUUCGUCGUUCUUCGAUUUGAUUUGGAUAAAACGUGGCGUGAACUUUUGAUUGCCGUGUGUGUUCCCGUUUCAUUAUUCGUCAUUUCAUUCAUUGCUCUGUGUAUUAUCACAAAAUCAGUGAAGGUGGGAGAUGACUCAAAAAUGAGAUGUAAAUAUUGUGCCGGCGAAACAUCGGACGCUGAAGAUAACAAUUAUACUAGCAAAUCGAAUCAUAAAAGUAAUUGCCCAAUGGAAUCACAAGAGCCGUGCCUAUCACCUUUGACAAAUCCAAAAAUAUACAGCACAAUACACGAGUAAACUUACACAGUCGCUGCCUAAUCGCAAUGUUCCAUUACGAUAAAUUAACUAAACAAAUGUUGCUGUUGAUGUUGUUAUACGCACUAGCACCAAUUAUUUACUGUGUUUGCACCAAAAUGCACAUAAUAUGGAUGUUGUUUAGAGCUUCUAAAUGCUAUAUUGAACGCUAGUUCCUUAACGCUAAGUAAGAUCAACGGAUUCAACCAUCUGCUCCUCCUAUCGAAUCAUUAGCAACAACCGAUGACCAACAAUUUCAAUGCAGUACAAAAUCUUUGAAACUUAGUCCUUGUACCGAAACGACAGAAAAAAGUUUGUCA